AGAGCAGCCACACAGUCUUUCCUUAAUCUAUAUCAACAACGUUUCAUUGACGGGAUAGUUCCGGUGCCGCUGGACGUCCCUCACCUUCCACUUUCUUUGUGUUUC